AUGGAUUAAGAGCUUGCUCUUAUGAAGUUAGCGGCGGACGGGUGAGUAACACGUGGGUAACCUGCCCAUAAGACUGGGAUAACUCCGGGAAACCGGGGCUAAUACCGGAUAAUAUUUUGAACCGCAUGGUUCGAAAUUGAAAGGCGGCUUCGGCUGUCACUUAUGGAUGGACCCGCGUCGCAUUAGCUAGUUGGUGAGGUAACGGCUCACCAAGGCAACGAUGCGUAGCCGACCUGAGAG
rnacentral:rRNA from 1 species